UGCGUGGGCAAUUAAAGAGUAAAUUUGAACCUAACAAAAGUUGACUAACAUGCUAACUAGUUUACAUCAAAAUACACAAAAUGACAACAACAACUAAUCUCCCAAGUAUCUAGGACAAAUCUCACUGCUAAAAAAUGCAUGGGAACAAACCAAUUUACUAGUUCAAUACUUCAUGUUCCAUUAGCAAUGAAACUCAUUAAUUCUAUAGAUUCCACACGGAUGCAGAUGAUGAACAGGUUGGAUUUGUAUCAUCUCCAACAUGGUUUACCAACGUUUCUUCAGGAUAUAGAAAAAGCAUAGGGGGUAUCUGUAGGCUUUCUAAUUCUCCUUCCAACAUCUUCACAACUUCAUUCAUUGGAGGACGGUUCAUGGGAUUCACUUGUAUACACCACAAUGCAACCAUAACCAUUUUUUCCAGUAUCUUCUUUUCAUCUACUGUGGCAUCUUCAACCUCUAUUUCCUUCCCAUCAAGAACUUGGUCAUAGACACAAAAAGGAAAGUAGGUUUGGCUUGAAUUUUGUGUUACUGCAUUUUUCUUCCUUUUACUAGCCAUUGCCAUUAGCAGCAUACCGAAGCUAUAAACAUCGGCUUUGUAUGAGACGCCUCCAAUGUUUUUGUAGUACAUUUCUGGUGCUAUAUAUCCUAUUGUUCCUCUUGCUGUUGUGAGAGAUAGAAUGAUGUCAUUAGUUGGAUACAAUUUGGCUAGCCCAAAAUCAGAAAUUUUGGGUGUGAAAUUCUCAUCAAGAAGGAUGUUGUGUGGUUUAAUGUCAAAAUGGAUGAUCUGCAUAUCACAACCUUGAUGUAGGUAUUCAAUGCCACGAGCCACUCUGAGAGAAAUCUCAUGCAUUUUUUCCCAGCUUAAAGAGGGAGAAUUUUCUUGAGAAAUAAUAUAUCCAUGGAGUGAUCUAUUUGGCAUGAAGUCAUAUAUAAGAGCAUGUUUUGAACACUCAGCACGAAAACCAAUUAGUCGCACGACAUUAACAUGAUGAAUCCUCCCUAUGGUAGCCACUUCAAUGAUAAAGUCUUGCCCAUUUGCUUUAGAUUUACCUAACGUCUUAACUGCAACAAGGUUGCCACAUCGGAGCUUCUCUUUAUAUACAGAACCAUAGUCUCCUUCUCCCAAUCUGUCCUUGAAGUCAUUAGUCAUUUUCCUAAUUUGUGAGUAGGAGUACCGUAUUGGCAUGAGAUUGUUGUGACCUUGUAGAGACUCUUCAACGGAAUCAAACAUUGAAAAAUGUCUUCUUCUCCAUUUGUAAAUCAAAAAAAUGAGGACAAUCGGAGCCCCGCAGAGAGUUCUUACCACAAAAAGUAAUGCCGCAUUGCAAAGUUAGCAGGAUCAAGAGAGAAUCUUUCUAAUGCAAAUUGCUUCAUUUCUUUCAUAUAUUUGUACUAUUGCGCCUGCAUUUUUCUCAGAAUAAUUAAUUUAAUAAAGUUUUUUGUUUAAUUUAAUUAAUAAAGUGCCCAUAUUUGUGCCAUUAUGCCUAUACAUUCAAUAUAAAAUCAUAUUUAAAGAGCUGAUGAUGAACAAGAAAAUGAGUCUUACCAACUAGAGGGGAUCCAUAAUAUAACAGAUAGACUAGAACCUCGACUGCAAUAAUCAUGGCACGCACAAACGAAGAACGAUAUGUGAUUAGGACUGCAGGCCUCAGAGCACUCGACAACGUAGGUAGUAUUAUCAAAAAAGCAGUAGUCUUGGCCCCUGCAUUCUUUGCACUGAAUGGGAGACCAUGAAAGCUCGAAACCAAACGCGAGGGCUUUAUGGAUGUCCCUGUAUGAAAGAUUCCUAAACUGGUCCGGCGGAUUUGUCAUAGACAUUAGAUCUAUGGUACACCAUUUUUCCAGUGCUGAAGCUGUCAUGCUGCCCAAACCAUAGCAUAUUGGUAGUGGUUUCCGUUGAAACAUGGAGCAGUAUCCACGUAAUCACUCAAUUCCACAGGAGUUUUGCAACUCAGAAACAUUACAUCCUGUGAAAUGGAGGACGGCGAAUAUGGAUCUUCACGGUUGAAGUUGAAAUGGUUCAGAGUGUGUAGAGGAAGUAAAGAACAAUUCACAUCCUGAACACCAACAUCAACCAUCUGGAUUGUUGAAUUAUUGUAAUUGAUGGCCUUAACGUAGUAUUUUCCAGAGUACAAGUUCAGAAUGGGUUGGUUGUUCUCGCAGACCGGUUCAUAGUUAGAGUCACCACACUCUGGUGGAUCGUCUUUAAUUCGAAAAGGGUAGGCGAGGCUAGUGAGAGUGCCACAAGAAGAAGGAUUUUCACAGCGAUGAGUUCUUUUGGAGCUGCAGGGUACUUGGAAUACGAGGAGUAUAACAAGGGCAGAAUAGCCUGCAAAUACAAGUCUUUUCCAGAACAUGGUGAUGGUUGAGGGAGUUUUUUUCCACCACUGGUUUAUUGUCGUGUUUAUUUGAAAUUAUUUUUAUAAUUUAAGAGUUUUUAUGAUUAAAAUGUAUUU
rnacentral:misc_RNA from 1 species